AAACGUUCUCAGUUCAGAUUGCAGGCUGCAACCCGCCUGCAUGAAGUCGGAAUUGCUAGUAAUCGCGGAUCAGCAUGCCGCGGUGAAUACGUUCCCGGGCCUUGUACACACCGCCCGUCACACCAUGAGAGUCGGGAACACCCGAAGUCCGUAGUCUAACCGCAAGGGGGACGCGGCCGAAGGUGGGUUCGAUAAUUGGGGUGAAGUCGUAACAAGGUACC
rnacentral:rRNA from 1 species